CCUACGGGGGGCUGCAGUGGGGAAUAUUGGACAAUGGGCGAAAGCCUGAUCCAGCAAUGCCGCGUGAGUGAUGAAGGCCUUAGGGUUGUAAAGCUCUUUUACCAGGGAUGAUAAUGACAGUACCUGGAGAAUAAGCUCCGGCUAACUCCGUGCCAGCAGCCGCGGUAAUACGGAGGGAGCUAGCGUUGUUCGGAAUUACUGGGCGUAAAGCGCACGUAGGCGGCCAUUCAAGUCAGAGGUGAAAGCCCGGGGCUCAACCCCGGAACUGCCUUUGAAACUAGAUGGCUUGAAUCUUGGAGAGGCGAGUGGAAUUCCGAGUGUAGAGGUGAAAUUCGUAGAUAUUCGGAAGAACACCAGUGGCGAAGGCGACUCGCUGGACAAGUAUUGACGCUGAGGUGCGAAAGCGUGGGGAGCAAACAGGAUUAGAUACCCCGGUAGUC
rnacentral:rRNA from 1 species